rnacentral:piRNA from 1 species
CCUGUAUAUUUGCUUACUGUGCUGUUCUA